rnacentral:misc_RNA from 1 species
AACGCAAAUUGCACUUUCUGGUAUUCCGGGAAGUAUGCCUGUUUGAGGGUCAAUUUAAUAACAAUCGAUGUGUUGCUUUUAUUAGUAAUACAACGGAAUUGAGUUAUCUUAUCCUUAGGUUAAGAGGCUUAAAAUUAAUUUAAUUUUGUAUUUAAAACGUAUUUAGAAUUUUCUAUGCGUUUCGGAUGCAAGAAUUUUAUUAGGUAUGAUCAUUUUUUAUGAUAUCAUACUCAUAAUUUCUUCAACUUUUGACCUCAAGUCAGGUAAGAAUACCCGCUGAACUUAA